GGCAAUCAUGAGCAAAGCUCACCCUCCCGAGAUGAAGAAAUGUAUGGACAAGAAGUUAUCACUGAAAUUAAAUGGUGGCAGACAUGACCAAGGAAUAUUGCGGGGACUUAACCCCUUUAUGACUCUUGUGAUAGAUAAAUGUGUGGAGAUGGCAACUAGUGGGCAACGGAAUAACACUGGAAAGGUGGUAAUACGAGGACAUAGUAUCACCGUGUUAGAAGCCUUGGAACGAGUAUGA